rnacentral:rRNA from 1 species
UACAGAGGCCUCGAGCGUUGUUCGGAUUCAUUGGGCGUAAAGGGUGCGUAGGCGGCGCGGUAAGUCGGGUGUGAAAUCUCGGAGCUUAACUCCGAAACUGCAUUCGAUACUGCCGUGCUUGAGGACUGGAGAGGAGACUGGAAUUUACGGUGUAGCGGUGAAAUGCGUAGAUAUCGUAAGGAAGACCAGUGGCGAAGGCGGGUCUCUGGACAGUUCCUGACGCUGAGGCACGAAGGUCAGGGGAGCAAACGGG